rnacentral:rRNA from 1 species
AUGAGCCAUCUUGUUCAUCUUGAAAUUUGUGCUGCAACAGCUGAGAAUGAGGUGCUGCAGCUGGAAGGGCUAUAUUUACCUCCAUCCCUUUCUGUGCUUGGUUUAGGAGGGAAGCUAGAAAAAAUAUCAAUGCCUCAACUUUUCUUUUCCUGGUCACACCUUAAUCGCCUCACUUGGUUGCACCUGGCAUUCUCCAAUAUUGAUGAGGACACCUUUUCCUGUAUGCACGUGUUACGUGGUCUACGCUUUCUUGUGCUGGUGAAUGCUUUUGAAGGGAAGAGGUUGGAUUUUUACGCUGGGUCAUUUCCAGAACUUCGGUAUCUAAACUUAUGGGGCGCAGCACAGCUCAACCAUGUUGGAAUAGAGGACGGCGUGAUGCAAAACCUCAUCGAGCUACUGCUUAUAAACUGCCCCAAGCUAAAGUUUCUUCCUGGUGGCAUCAAACACCUUGCAGCCCUUGAGAAAUUAUAUCUGGAGAACACAUCAGAAGAGCUGAUAGAGAAGCUCCGGCAGGACAGAGAUUCAGACGAAUUCAGUGAAGAUAUAAUGAAGAUUAGCCACAUAAGGAACGUUACAGUUGCACUGACACAGAAAGGACUUGUAGAAAGGAUAAGGUGA